rnacentral:rRNA from 1 species
UCAGUCGACUCCUACGGGGAGGCAGCAGUGGGGAAUAGUUGCACAAUGGGGGAAACCCUGAUGCAGCCAUGCCGCGUGUGUGAAGAAGGCCUUCGGGUUGUAAAGCACUUUCAGUAGGGAGGAAGGUAGUGUAGUUAACACCUGCACUAUUUGACGUUACCUACAGAAGAAGCACCGGCUAACUCCGUGCCAGCAGCCGCGGUAAUACGGAGGGUGCGAGCGUUAAUCGGAAUUACUGGGCGUAAAGCGCAUGCAGGCGGCCUGUUAAGUCAGAUGUGAAAGCCCGGGGCUUAACCUCGGAAUUGCAUUUGAAACUGGCAGGCUAGAGUCUUGUAGAGGGGGGUAGGAAUUUCAGGUGUAGCGGUGAAAUGCGUAGAGAUCUGAAGGAAUACCAGUGGCGAAGGCGGCCCCCUGGACAAAGACUGACGCUCAGAUGCGAAAGCGUGGGGAGCAAACAGGAUUAGAUACCCUGGUAG